UAGUGAUGUCAAGUUACUUGACUACUAGAAAGUAGAAACUAUUUAUUCUCCGUCUCACACUCGCUAGCUUGAUCCGUCUGUUUCAUGAUUCACAUAUACACACAGUUGGCACUGUGGAUAUAUAUGUUUGCGACUUAAUCUGACAUGAUUGGCGGCCAAGUGGGCUACUGGCAUUUCCAGAGAGUCGCAAGGUUAUCUCUGAAGACAACAGUGUGACGCAUCCGAAACAGAUUAUUGAAGGUGAAGGACAGCUUCACUUGCUCGUGAUCCCUUCUGCCCUUCGGGUCGAUGGUGAUGUUAUCAUCAGCCCACUUAGCUGCGGGAAUUGCUCGAAUGUGGAUAGUCAUGACACAUAUGAGGAGCGGAGGUGCAUGCUUUACUUGGAGAAUUAUCCCUCGCAGGACAACCGUAAGGAAGCUGUCAGAAUGCUGAGAUCCAUCCAAUGGCAAAGCAACAGGUUCAGUAAUGAGCCACUCCCUGCUGAACCUACCUUUGGGUGGGGGGGGACAAAGAUUCACACUGAAAGCCAGGUGGAUCAUUAUUGUGGCUCUGAGGUCACCAGGUCAAUCAGUCAAACUGCCAAACCUGGUAUCUAUGUGGUGUCAGGAGUGAUGACAAAUAAGCAACCACUGACACAUGAACAUCAGCUGGUUUAUCCGAUACAACAUGAUGAUGUUGAUGAUGCAAUCGGAGCAUGCAGCCCAGCUGCUUGACAAUAUGACUGAAUCAGAUCAAUAUUUUUGCAAUGACUUGAGCAUGAGCUAAUCUUGCACAAGGAGGAGCAGCAACCUUCCAUGUCCCAGAGCAACUUGACUGAGCCAACUUUUGCGCCGAUACCAGAAAGUUUCUGCUUGCCUUUGUCAGCUUGUGACUGUCUAGUAGGAUUUACAGGCUUCUGAAUUGAGAGUUAUUAUGCAGCAAGGACUUGGAUUGUUCUGUCCACCCCACUCAUUCCAUUAUUGCAGUCACUAGGACAAUUGUCAGCCUACAAGGUGGCACAUUCUGAACAAGCAUUGAAGAGCGGUGGAGGACCAUCGGCUGGCUGCUUGCCUGCAGCAGCGGUGUGCAUCACCUUUAAAGUUUCAUUGAGUUGGAUCCCAGCUAUAGGGGUGAUGGUCCCAAGAGUCUCCAACACGUAGGCCUUGCUUGUGCAUCGGCACCACACUCCCAGUAAUUCAUCCGCACUGUUCGAUUAGGCUUCACCGGAGUCUGGAGAGACUAAUGCAUUCUUCAAUUGCUGUUGCAGGUGAACUCGGAUGAUUGUGCCGGCCGUAUCGGUAGGAGGGGAGGACCACCGGCCUUGAAGGCAAACACAGGGUUGAGCCAGCAUUGAAGCGGAGUGCGGCAGCAGGCUGCAUCUCUUGCACUGGUGUGUACCUUCAAAAGCUCUACAUAUUUGGAUUCUAGCUGAGCAUGAUGGUCCCAAAGGUCUCCUGCUCCGAGGAGGAGAGGGUGACCUUGUUCAAAUGGAUUCAUUGAUCCUGGCCAAACUUGUAGAUCUUUCGAUGUGGAACAGCAAGAUCAAAGCUUGGGUCGUAAGUUUCUCGGCUCCCAACAUUGGUCACCCUGCUCGCAUGGAGUUGUCAGUCUCAUCUACACGGCUCAGUGUUUGCGAGAGAAAUGACCAACAAAUGGGUUCUUGAACGGAAACGAGAUGUAUAAAAUGCUGCUGUUGUCAUGGCUGGAACAUCAAAAACCAUGCAGUCGGUAUCUUCUGCAGGUUUAGACUACUAGAAGACUCGUCUCGGAGAAUGUUAUAAUGAGCAUAUGGAGGGGAAAAAGGACAGUUUGUGGCCAAGUACGAGGCGGCUUGAAGCCUUCUUCGACGGACAAAUUAAUAGGUCGAUGAGCUUUCGCGGCUCACGAGUGGCGGAGGGGGAUAGGUUUAUUUGGGAAGACCAGGAACCAAAGACGACGACUGUGACUCUUCUUCGAGGCUGUUGGACGAGAUGACUUAUCACAAUUGUCUGCAGUCAAGCUGAAACACUUUCUACGGUCCGCGGGAAACUGUGCGAGUGUUCAUCCCUGAGCUUACGGCCAAUGAAAUGAAGUGAUGAGUCGGGCGUCUCUGAGCCCGUGAGUGACAAAGCUACAGGAUAAUUAUGAUUACACCUCUCUCUCUCUCUCUCUCUCCCCCCGCGAUGCAGAGGACCACCACGGCAACUUCCUUUUAUGUGCGCACAAAGUUCCGGAGUUCCCACCUU